UGUUGCAGACGUGCCCACCUCGAAGCCACUUCCACGCAGGAAGAGGGGUGGAGGAAAGCGCCACGCCGAAACCUGUCGCAAACGCGAACAGGAGCCCAGGAGACCGGGCGCGCGGGAUACAAAGGGAUCUGAACGCGGCCUUCCAUGAGGCGACUGGGCGCGGACAGGGAGACAAAAUGGAGCGGCGUGUCACCAGACUGUCUGAGGAGGUCCCCAAAGCAAAGAUGGAGGAUCUUGACAUCCCACCCAUGGAACAGGUUCACUGAUUUCCACCACAGAAAAAGAAUUAUUAGGGCCCCAUUAUAAGGGCACCCCCUUGACUUCCGGGAAGAUGGCAGAACAGAAAGCAGCAGAGAAAACAGCCUCUCUCAGAGAAACAGUCCAGAUGCUGGAGUAUAGCAUCACGGGGAAGACAAGAAAGAAGGAAAUGGGUCCCCUCUACCCAGGAAGAACCUAAAGGGAGAACUGAAGCACACAGAGAGAGUAAAAAAUGAAAAACUUAAACAAAGGAGAAGAUGGUAGCACCUUCACCCAGAGCCGGACCCACUUUGCCAGAAGAGCUGUUGAAACUGGAGGCGCAUGGUCACUGUGACGAUGGUGGCUGCCAAGCCUGAAGACCUCUGCAAAGAGAUGGUGGCGGUAGGGAGCAGCAGACAUGGAGAACUGCACUGGGUGGCGCUAUUUCAAAGAUAACAAAGUAUAUUAUGGUAACCAUUUCUGAUUACCUAUUAGCUUGAUUUAAAGCCCUGUAUUGCUUUCAUUGUUUUGUUUUGAAUGAUUUUAUUCUAUUUUGUUUUGUUUGAUUAUAUCAUGUCUGAUGAUAUAGGCAACUACUUUGAAGGCAAUAAGAUACAUUAUGAUACCCACUGUGGUUUUGCAAUUAUCUUCCUUUGAAGGCCUAUACUGUUUCCACUGUUUUGUCUUUAUUGGUUUUAUUCUAUACUAUUCUGUUUGAUUUUAUUUUGCCUGAUGGUAUAGGCAAUUCUUUUGAAGAUAAUAAAAGACAUUAUGGUAGCCA